rnacentral:rRNA from 1 species
AUUGAACGCUGGCGGCAUGCCUUACACAUGCAAGUCGAACGGCGGCACGGGGGCAACCCUGGUGGCGAGUGGCGAACGGGUGAGUAAUACAUCGGAACGUGCCCUGAAGUGAGGGAUAACGUAGCGAAAGUUACGCUAAUACCGCAUAUUCUGUGAGCAGGAAAGAGGGGGAUCGCAAGACCUCUUGCUUUAGGAGCGGCCGAUGUCGGAUUAGCUAGUUGGUGAGGUAAAGGCUCACCAGGGCGACGAUCCGUAGCGGGUCUGAGAGGAUGAGCCGCCACACUGGGACUGAGACACGGCCAAGACUCCUACGGGAGGCAGCAGUGGGGAAUUUUGGACAAUGGGCGCAAGCCUGAUCCAGCCAUGCCGCGUGAGUGAAGAAGGCCUUCGGGUUGUAAAGCUCUUUCGGCGGGGAAGAAAUUGCUCAGGAUAAUACCUUGAGUAGAUGACGGUACCCGCAUAAGAAGCACCGGCUAACUACGUGCCAGCCGCCGCGGUAA